CCUACGGGAUGCUGCAGUGGGGAAUAUUGGGCAAUGGAGGAAACUCUGACCCAGCAAAGCCGCGUGAAUGAUGAAGGUCUUCGGAUUGUAAAGUUCUUUUCUAAGGGAAGAAGAAAGUGACGGUACCCUAGGAAUAAGCCUCGGCUAACUACGUGCCAGCAGCCGCGGUAAGACGUAGGAGGCAAGCGUUAUCCGGAAUGACUGGGCGUAAAGGGUGCGUAGGUGGUUUGACAAGGUGGUAGCGUAACUCCGGGGCUCAACCUCGGCACUACUACCAAAACUGUCGGACUUGAGUGCAGGAGGGACAAAUGGAAUUCCUAGUGUAGCGGUGGAAUGCGUAGAUAUUAGGAGGAACACCAGUGGCGAAGGCGAUUUGCUGGACUGUAACUGACACUGAGGCACGAAAGCGUGGGGAGCAAACAGGAUUAGAUACCCCUGUAGUC
rnacentral:rRNA from 1 species